rnacentral:rRNA from 1 species
UACGUAGGGGGCAAGCGUUGUCCGGAUUUAUUGGGCGUAAAGCGCGUGUAGGCGGCCACACAGGUCCGCUGUGAAAACUCGAGGCUCAACCUCGAGCUGUCGGUGGAAACCGUGUGGCUAGAGUCCGGAAGAGGAGACUGGAAUUCCCGGUGUAGCGGUGGAAUGCGCAGAUAUCAGGAGGAACACCGGUGGCGAAGGCGGGUCUCUGGGCCGAAACUGACGCUGAGGAGCGAAAGCGUGGGGAGCAAACGGG